GCCUGCUUAGCUCAGAUGGAUAGAGCAACUGCCUUCUAAGCAGUGGGUCAGAGGUUCGAAUCCUCUAGCGGGUA
rnacentral:tRNA from 1 species